rnacentral:lncRNA from 1 species
AUGAGAUGGGCACGAUGUGGAUAAAAAUGAUAUAACCACAGGCCAAAGGGAAUCACUAGAUCCUGUGACACAGAAAAUAUUACACAAUCGAUAACUGCUGAACAGCAGAGGCUUUAUCUAAAUCUUACCUAAUAUAGAAGUUGCUUUGGGCAGAGGAGACAAUAGAAGCAGAAGAAGAACAGGCUGGAGAUCAUUCUUCCACAAUGGUGUCUAUGUUGCUGUGCUUCAUGAGCAUGCCCUAAAUAAAGCCAAACUGUUACAGAAAGAUAGAUUAUAAUAGUGGUAGUUAUCAAAUUUUGUUCCAGUAUUAAUUCCGUUAGAAAUAAUUAAAAUUCAUUUGUCAAAGGAAAAACCUGUGAAACAUACCUUACAUUUCAAAACACUAGAUUAUAUGGAGUAUAUGCUCUCACUUUAGAUAAUCCUGCUUGCCUUCAAUUGCCAAUGGAAUCAGAAGACUUCUUUUAGUCAAAAUGGGGUUGUAAGGAAAAUACUACUCAAAAUAAAAAAUGUAUAUUUAUGAUCUUUUUCAUUGAUUUAAAUUGUGAUACAAAGAAUUUAUGAAUUCAUAGAGUAAUGUUUUUUAGGGAGAAAUUAAAGGGUGUUUCAACAUUAUUUGUUUUGUUAUUUUAUAAGUAGGGUGCUUGUAGGGUCUUUUCUCUAUCUUUAAAUUUGUCAAUAUAAAACCAAGUAAAUGUAUCAAGAAGUUAAUUUUAUAUCUUUUCUGAUAAGGUAGAAUUCUUUCAUUUGAUCCUAAAAAUAUUUAGUCAGAGACUAAAAAAUUGUUUGAAAAUACAAAAUGUGGACAAAUGUUAGUUUACAAAAC